CCACCAUUGUGUAGUAUUUUCCUACACUUUUGUAGAAGGAUUUUGUCGGCUUCUCAUUGUAAUUCUUCCUUUGGAGCAUCUGGACAACGGCCUUGGAGUCUAGCUCAAUUAUAACAUUCCUCUAUUGCCAUUGUCUUACCAUCCAAAUUCCUUCCUUUAGCUUCAACAAUUCCAUCAAAAGACCAUGUGAUAAGCCAAUGUUACUCAAAAAUCCAAUCUCCCAGUCACUUGGGCUUUCAACAGACCUCCUAGUGCCAUCUGUGUUAAGCUUUAACAACCCAGUAUUUGGUCAGUGCCACCUCACUAACCUUUUGGGCAUUCAAUCUCUUGCCAAAUUAUUGCUUACUUCAUGUGCUAAUCAUAGAGCCAUGGUUAUGACUUUGAAUUGGGUGGGGAAAAUUCCAUGAAACCAAGUUGUGUUCUCACUAGAACCCUCUUAGGAGAUGCACGAAGCUAGUCUGCCAUUGCUCUCACUGCCUUAGCUCUGUUGGCUUAUAGUUCCCCUGAACCCAUUCUUGCAAAGGAGCUAGUCUUAGGUGCUGUCUUGCCCCUCCAUAAAACUCCCAGAAAGCACAUCUAAAGCUAAAAUCUCUCAUAAAGUCUACCAUUAUUUAAUCCUCUUUUUCACAUAUCAGGCACAACCCUCUGCGAAAUGCAUUCCAACCCUCUUCAUAUUUGUUAUGAUUUUCUGUUCUGAAACCAUCUAGGCAAACAUCCUUUUUCUCUUGGUAUAAUUUACCUUCCUAUACCAGGAAUAGUUCCCUUCUUCUCUGGUCUAUACUCCAUUGGCUGCCUUUACUAUUAAGAUUCCUGUUUUCAAGCUUGUCUAGUAUGUCUGAUCUUGUUAACCUUCUGUAAUCAGAAGAGGAGUGGCUUGGAUGGUGUCUACACUCUGUUUUGGUUUGGUAUGCUGAAGUGUGGUCAAGCUUCACUCUGGAAAGGUCAACGGGGUGGGGAAUAUAUGGGGGGCAUAUCCCCUUGUAUUGAGUAUUGACCCCAAUUAUUUCUUAUGCUGCCCAACUUUGCACCCAUUCCCAAAUACAGAGACAAAAUUUUCCUCAUCCCAUCCUCGCAGAGUAUAUACACAAAACAAAAUAACUAGUUUUGAUGGCAUUUAGUGAUGACAAAAAGUGUCUUUCUGCCGAUGAUGUUGUCUUAGGAGCAUGACAGCAGCCAUAGAUUGUUGCUUAAUAUAAGCAUCAUUGGAGUUUUCUUUCAUGGAACUAUGGAAGAAGGUGAUGGAACAACCUGUGUUAGCAUUGAUCCAUGAACCAGACUAAUUACUUUUAGUUCUUUAGGCAAUCUCUCGGCUGGCGGGGAAUUGGGUUCCUUUUAGGUAUGGGACAAAUGACUUUCCUAUUUCACUCCCUUGUGGUGUUGAUGUAUUCCGCCACCUUUUCCUGCAUUGGGUUUUCCAGAGUAGUAGCUUCUUCUUCCAUAAUUAGAGACUUAUUUUUGGUGCACGAAUCCAUCCAAAAACUCACAUUGUUGACAUCUCCAAUGCCAGUGAGCUUUCCUCUCACUCAAUGCUCUACCCUUUGAAAUGCUCUUCCAAGCUGACAAGGAAGUUUGUAGCAUGGGUAGGUAUGCAUUUCCUAUAAAGUUUACAGAAGUAAUGCUUGGUGAAGAUAAAGAAACUACUAUUGAGAUCCAGGCUGAGGAUACCCUUCCAAUAAUAUUCAAGCCAAAGGUUGCAUUCCCAAAAAUGUGUAUGUAAUGUUUAAGGGUAUAGUUAAUCUAUUUUGUGAUGAUGUAAUCCUUCUAAGCUUAUAGUUCUGGGCCUCUGGCAAUACUGUUCCAAAGGAGUUCUCCAUUGGGAUGCAGAGCAAUCACCUGGAAUUUAAUCUACUUAAAGUUGAAGUGAGAUUGUUUAACAAAUUGUUCCUCUAUGAGAACACUGCUGAACUUGACGACUGGCUCAGUGAUUUAAAUCCACACUCCAAAAUAGUGAUGCCAGAGCCCAGAUGCAUGUGCUGUGCUUUUACUUGGCAAUGCUUUGGUCGGAGACAAAUUUCAGUAUUUCAGUUUGAGGGGGUUGGUAGGUUAGAUACCCUGCUAUAGAAAAUCACUAGAAAUUCAAUUCAUGGAUUGCUCAAAGAUCAUAUAUGGCCACAACUUUGGGCUAUGCUAUCAACUUUUGCUUUUACCUCUUUAUUUAUUUACCUUCAGUAUUUUUGCAAUAUGUUUCCUGAAAAGGAGCAUUUUCAACACUAGAAUUGUUGGUUUCCAAUUUUGACCAUUUAAAGUGGCGAUUUAUUGUACAAUGUAGCGCAAUUCUACUUUGUUUCAUGUUUGAAUUUAAGCUACUUUGUUGUCAACAAUGAUUCGAAUUCUGCAAAAUUGGUUUUCAUCAUAUCAUCGCACUAUGAGAUAGCUAUGCAGCCUAUGCUAAAGUUGGAAUAGGCAUGAAAAAUUAGCGCAACUCUUUUUCUAAAUCUCUGAGUGUACAUUGACCAACCCAUUGAAUGAGAAAAAAAAUCAGAUUUACGUAUCUAUUUGAAAUCAAGCAGGUGAAUAGAUUUAAUGUCUCCUCCUGGAACCUUGAUGUAAUUAUUUGUUUGUAUAAUUGUAUUUCUUGCUUGUUCUUGGCUAAGUACUUGAAAUUUUGCAAUAAACCACUUUGGGAUAAACACCUAAUGAACUAAGCAUUACAGGCAAAGGCUUAUUUGAUGAUUUUACGGACUAGAAUAACUUCUGUGAAUUGGUUU